GCCAGAAGCCAUAUCACCCUGCAACUCACAACUGGCAACUCACUGAAGCUAAUCAGCUGUGAGACUGGUCAGUACCUGGAUGGGAAACCUCCUGGGAAAAACUAAGGUUGCUGCUGGAA
rfam:Lepisosteus oculatus linkage group LG9, whole genome shotgun sequence.